rnacentral:rRNA from 1 species
UUAAAUUGAAGAGUUUGAUCAUGGCUCAGAUUGAACGCUGGCGGCAGGCCUAACACAUGCAAGUCGAACGGUAACAGGAAGCAGCUUGCUGCUUCGCUGACGAGUGGCGGACGGGUGAGUAAUGUCUGGGAAACUGCCUGAUGGAGGGGGAUAACUACUGGAAACGGUAGCUAAUACCGCAUAACGUCGCAAGACCAAAGAGGGGGACCUUCGGGCCUCUUGCCAUCGGAUGUGCCCAGAUGGGAUUAGCUUGUUGGUGGGGUAACGGCUCACCAAGGCGACGAUCCCUAGCUGGUCUGAGAGGAUGACCAGCCACACUGGAACUGAGACAC